ACUACUUUGGCAGAGAAGUGUAUUGAAUUUAGAAUUCAAAAAUGUAAGAGUAUUACAGGUAGUA
rnacentral:tRNA from 1 species